rnacentral:rRNA from 1 species
AGGCUUAACACAUGCAAGUCGAGCGCCCCGCAAGGGGAGCGGCAGACGGGUGAGUAACGCGUGGGAACGUACCCUUUACUACGGAAUAACGCAGGGAAACUUGUGCUAAUACCGUAUGUGCCCUUCGGGGGAAAGAUUUAUCGGUAAGGGAUCGGCCCGCGUUGGAUUAGCUAGUUGGUGGGGUAAAGGCCUACCAAGGCGACGAUCCAUAGCUGGUCUGAGAGGAUGAUCAGCCACAUUGGGACUGAGACACGGCCCAAACUCCUACGGGAGGCAGCAGUGGGGAAUAUUGGACAAUGGGCGCAAGCCUGAUCCAGCCAUGCCGCGUGAGUGAUGAAGGCCCUAGGGUUGUAAAGCUCUUUCACCGGAGAAGAUAAUGACGGUAUCCGGAGAAGAAGCCCCGGCUAACUUCGUGCCAGCAGCCGCGGUAAUACGAAGGGGGCUAGCCGUUGUUCGGAAUUACUGGGCGUAAAGCGCACGUAGGCGGACAUUUAAGUCAGGGGUGAAAUCCCAGAGCUCAACUCUGGAACUGCUUUGAUACUGGGUGUCUGGAGUAUGGAAGAAGUGAGUGGAAUUCCGAGUGUA